rnacentral:rRNA from 1 species
GCUAUGAGAUGGACCCGCGUCGCAUUAGCUAGUUGGUGAGGUAACGGCUCACCAAGGCGACGAUGCGUAGCCGACCUGAGAGGGUGAUCGGCCACAUUGGGACUGAGACACGGCCCAGACUCCUACGGGAGGCAGCAGUGGGGAAUAUUGCACAAUGGGGGAAACCCUGAUGCAGCAACGCCGCGUGAGUGAUGACGGCCUUCGGGUUGUAAAACUCUGUCUUUGGGGACGAUAAUGACGGUACCCUGUGAGGAAGCACCGGCUAACUAC